UACGUAGGGCGCAAGCGUUUGUCCGGAAUUAUUGGGCGUAAAGAGCUCGUAGGCGGCUUGUCGCGUCGAAUGUGAAAUCUCGGGGCUCAACUCCGAGCUUGCAUUCGAUACGGGCAGGCUAGAGUUCGGUAGGGGGAGACUGGAAUUCCUGGUGUAGCGGUGAAAUGCGCAGAUAUCAGGAGGAACACCGGUGGCGAAGGCGGGUCUCUGGGCCGAUACUGACGCUGAGGAGCGAAAGCGUGGGGGAGCGAACAGG
rnacentral:rRNA from 1 species